GAUCAAUGGGGCAGGCGAGAGUGAAUGUGUUUUGCCUACAGGAUCGGGAUACAGCUAGCCGUGAACAUGUGAAUGACGUAAAUGCUUGUAGAACUAAUAAAGAUGUCCGACCAGACUCAAACAGCAGAUCUCAAAUCAGAGGACAGCCGACAGAUUUUCUUUUCCUGAUUUGACUGAAUAUGAAAGGAAAGGAUGGAAACUUCGGGCAUUUCAAGCAUUAGUUUGGUGAUAACAGCGCAAGAAUUUACCUGAUGUCGACCAAGACUAGCUUCUAUCCCCAUCGACUGUCUGAUAUCCUGAACCACAAUUGGAAGUGAAAUCAACGCGGCCUGGUGAGCAAGGAGUGGUGCAGCAAGGGUUUCAUCAGGAGAAGAUAGUGGGUCAGGUGGAUAGGAGAAUGUUGCUUGGAAGGCAUCCGCAUAUUUGGUUAUGUUUCUGUGAGAUGAGGUAUGACGUCAUCGCUGACUGAUCAAUUCGAUUUUCCCAAACCAGAAAGGAAUCGGUUUUACCAUGGGAAAGUGUUGAAGGUGGACUCUGGUGGACGAAUGAUCAAGCUUCCAGGAUCGAGUUGGUCUUCGAUCCGCUAGCCAGAACCAGUUUUUACCACGAGUAGAGAUCGAAGGAGCAAGGUGUUGACGUUGGACUCCUGUCGACGAAUAUGCCGAAAUUGCCGAUACCUUGGAUAGUCAUAACCUGAAACAGUCUCACUUUAGUGAGGGAGAUAUUGCCCCUAUUGCAAGCUUCCAGGACCCAGUUGGUCUUCCGCUAGCCCGAACCCGGUUUUACUAUACGAGAAGGAGUCGACGGUGGAUUCCGGUCGACGAAAAUGCGGAUACCUUGGAAAGUUGACCCGAUUCAGUCUCAUCACGGUGAAGGAUUAUCACUUCUUCCCGGAUCUCCAGUUGAUCUUCCGUCGGCUGGAACCCGAGGGGCCCAGAAAAUGCAGAAGAGAUGGAAAGCCAAGAAUCUCCAUCUAGGUUAAAUAUUAAUCUAUUUUGCUAAAUUUGCUAAAAGAUUAGGCCUUAAUUAUUUCUCAAUUUUGUUGAUUCUACUCCCAACGAAAAUAUAAAGAACCCCCCCCCCAAAAAAAAAGCUGUCCAUUAUCAUCAAGUUUUUAAUUAUCUCAUCCAACUAAAUUUCAUUGUAUUUUUUGUUCCAUGGGCAAUUGAGAUAUUGCGUGUUGCAGAUUAAACUUCAAAUUGAUAUCCACGUUUAAGCCCCCCCCCCCGGCCAGCAAAUAUGUGAAAUUUCGCUUUUCUUGGGGGGGGGGGGGGGCUCACCCAAGCCGAAUGCAGAAUGGAGAUACGUAUAAUAUAGGGCCUACAUUUUCAAAUAAGCUCCAAAACAAGGGACCAAAGCUACCAAGCUAAUGACAAUUUUCAAUAUGGAAAAGACACGUCAAAUGCCAACUGAAGAUCGCGCCUCCCCCCAAAAUGAGCUUUAGACAACAUCUUACUUUUAUCAUCUCAUCUCGACCUUUUUUUUCUUUGGGGAGGGGGGAUGUCUUUUUGCCCCACUCUCGGCGCCAAUGCUUCACAUGGAGAGAAUGAACAUCAUUUAAUUCAGGCAUUUUGAUAUUCAUCCGAAACUAUGAUUUCUUAUCUUAUUCUAUUUGAUCCAGUUUAUAUUAUACUGAAUAGUUAGUUUGAUUGUAGUAGUCACACGCCCCAUAGCAAUAUCAAAAUAAUUUAACUAUUUCAUUUUGGAUGCCAUGCAUGGUGUACGUAGCCGUUUCAAGUAUUAUCAUACGUUCUACGUACCUCUGAUUUUGUAUAUCAUUUAUUGUGCAUUAUUAUAAUUAUGUAACUUAACACAAUCUCUUAAAUAAUUAAUUCAUUUAUAGGAAUCACAACAAUUUGAUUAUUUAAUAAGAAAGACAUGAUGGAUGAUCGCAUAAAUAGCACAGAUAAAUUCAAAUACUUCCCCCUUUUCGGGUUUUAUUUAUAUUAUUGUCACUGGUGCACAGAUGCGGGCAUGACCCCCCCCCCCACGACCAAGGAGAAAGGAGAAAAAAAUGGAAAAGGAAUCAUUCAAUUAACUUCAAUUCGUUCAUUUCAAUAUGAUAUUUUCUUAUUAUGUAGAAAUUAUAUUUUUUGUAUUAAAAAAUGUCAAAAUAUUGCUUGCUCGCAGCUUUUUUUUUAAAUAUAAAUUUUGCCUCAUUUGCCAUGUUUGACCCCUCAAAUAAUUUUGCUCAUUACGCGCCAUUGGUUAUUGUUUUUAUUGGUUAAGUUUGUCAUCUGCUGAACGAAUGAAUAGAAUAAGUAGAUGAAAGAGUAUUACAAAGUGAAUAGACAAAUAUGGAUGAAUGGUUAAUUUGAUAAAUAAACAACUGAGUAAGCAACUAAAUAGAUACAUGAGAAAGUAAUUAAAACUGCUAACUCUUUUUUGGACCGGUAAUUUCCAGUGCUGGGUGCUUUGAUGUCGAUCUUUACGGGGGAAGGGGGUGAUGGUUGGUUCAAAAGAUGAGUGCAGAGGUAUAGUAAGCCAUAUUAUACCAUGCAUUUUUAAUUAUGGCCCCCGUAUUCUUCCCCCUCACUUGUGCAAAUUUAUAUUACAGAUAAAAAUGAAAAAGAUUGUGAUAAGAAAACAAUUUAGAUUAAAUCUAUUACGUUAUUAGGUGUUGGGUGGGUUAUACAUUUUAUUGAUAUUAUUUUACAAAAUAAUAUAAGUAACGAGGUAUAUCACUUAUUUUAACGAGUUCAAUAUAAUACUUGAAAUGCAGAUGCCUAGAUUUCUUGUUCCAUUUUGUGGUAAAUAUCAUCUGAUAAAUUUUAAGGUCGCCCAAAAUAUAAGCUUUAUUUUGUAAUUAUGCAUCAAUUUGAACAGUAAAAAUUUAUAAUUGUAGGCUUUCAACUGCUGGUAUCUCCGAAAACCUUGGUUGAAGUUGAUAAUGGUAGGCCUAUAUAUUCAUGAAGUGCACUGGGAAAAUUUUGAAAAAUAUGUACCUUAGCAAACGACAUUUUGGGUUAAACUUUGUAAUAUGAUAAUUUGCCUAAAUGAUUGAUUAUGGCGCAGUAACAUUUCCCAUACGGGGGUCGUACGACGAGUCUAAAACGGCUGCUUUAAAGGGGAUAUUCCGGACUAAAAAUGCUAUCUACAUGUAAAUAGAGUGAAAUUCAAUAAGCAAAACGCUCAGUUAAAAUUUCAUCAAAUUCUGAUGACAAAUAACGAAGUUAUUGAUUUCAAAGUUAAGCGAUAUUUUAUGAAAACAGUUGUCUGCACACCUUAUGAUAUAUUAGAUGUGCUGCUGACGCCAUGUCUCCACUUUCCUUUUUCUUAUGUUAUUACAUGAAAUCAUAAUUAUUUCAUAUUUCAUACAUGUGUAUGAUACAUGUAUUUCUCUCUUUCAACAUGUUGCAGGAAUGAUUAUCUUACUCAUUUUAUCAAAAAGUCAGUCCAUUUUUUCAUUCUUGAAGGACAAAAUUUGAAUAUAUAGAUAAUAUUGAUCAAUAAAGAUUGUAAGAAAAAAAAAAUACCUCAUCGGUUUGCUCAAUGCAUUUUCAUUAGGACAUGGAUAGAACUGUUUCAUCGAAAUAAUGCAAAACUUAUUAUUGUCAUAACUUUAUUAUUCCUUGUCUGAUUUUGAUGAAAUUUUCAGCAUCAUUUAAUUUUUCUUUAUCUGUACUUUUCAGAAUGUACAUGAUGGAGUACCCUUUAAUCAUUUUGUGCCAGUUACAUAUGGUUCGUAUAUGGAAAUGGCUGUUUUCGACUUGCCGCGCGGGCACCGUAGGGGAAAUGUAAUUGCAGCAAUAUUAAAUGAUCAUGUUACACCUCGUUU